AGUCGAGCGAACAGACGAGGAGCUUGCUCCUCUGACGUUAGCGGCGGACGGGUGAGUAACACGUGGAUAACCUACCUAUAAGACUGGGAUAACUUCGGGAAACCGGAGCUAAUACCGGAUAAUAUAUUGAACCGCAUGGUUCAAUAGUGAAAGACGGUUUUGCUGUCACUUAUAGAUGGAUCCGCGCCGCAUUAGCUAGUUGGUAAGGUAACGGCUUACCAAGGCAACGAUGCGUAGCCGACCUGAGAGGGUGAUCGGCCACACUGGAACUGAGACACGGUCCAGACUCCUACGGGAGGCAGCAGUAGGGAAUCUUCCGCAAUGGGCGAAAGCCUGACGGAGCAACGCCGCGUGAGUGAUGAAGGUCUUCGGAUCGUAAAACUCUGUUAUUAGGGAAGAACAAAUGUGUAAGUAACUAUGCACGUCUUGACGGUACCUAAUCAGAAAGCCACGGCUAACUACGUGCCAGCAGCCGCGGUAAUACGUAGGUGGCAAGCGUUAUCCGGAAUUAUUGGGCGUAAAGCGCGCGUAGGCGGUUUUUUAAGUCUGAUGUGAAAGCCCACGGCUCAACCGUGGAGGGUCAUUGGAAACUGGAAAACUUGAGUGCAGAAGAGGAAAGUGGAAUUCCAUGUGUAGCGGUGAAAUGCGCAGAGAUAUGGAGGAACACCAGUGGCGAAGGCGACUUUCUGGUCUGUAACUGACGCUGAUGUGCGAAAGCGUGGGGAUCAAACAGGAU
rnacentral:rRNA from 1 species